AAAUAAAUAAAGAAGCAACACAAUCAAGAGCUCAGUUAGCAGUACUGCAAUAAUUUACAGCAUGGAUUACUAGAGAACAAAAAACAGGGGAAAGAACUGCAAGUAUGUACCUCUUGAUGGGUAAAGCAACAAGUAGUCUGUCGAGAAUCUAAUCAUCCAUUUUCAUGUGCAUUCUGCUAACAUAUGAUCAAUUAUGCUACAUGCAACUGGGGAAAAAAAAGAUGUAUUCUGGGAUCAGGUGCUGAAGAGAGGUCAGUUGUACGUAUACCUUCAUGGAAACAACAUUUGUAUGUGUUGCAAAAUGAAACAAUAGAUAUCCAAUUG
rnacentral:misc_RNA from 1 species